AUUGAACGCUGGCGGCAGGCCUAACACAUGCAAGUCGGACGGUAGCACAGAGGAGCUUGCUCCUCGGGUGACGAGUGGCGGGCGGGUGAGUAAUGUCUGGGGAUCUGCCCGAUAGAGGGGGAUAACCACUGGAAACGGUGGCUAAUACCGCAUAACGUCGCAAGACCAAAGAGGGGGACCUUCGGGCCUCUCACUAUCGGAUGAAGCCAGAUGGGAUUAGCUAGUAGGCGGGGUAACGGCCCACCUAGGCGACGAUCCCUAGCUGGUCUGAGAGGAUGACCAGCCACACUGGAACUGAGACACGGUCCAGACUCCUACGGGAGGCAGCAGUGGGGAAUAUUGCACAAUGGGCGCAAGCCUGAUGCAGCCAUGCCGCGUGUAUGAAGAAGGCCUUCGGGUUGUAAAGUACUUUCAGCGGGGAGGAAGGCGAUGUGGUUAAUAACCGCAUUGAUUGACGUUACCCGCAGAAGAAGCACCGGCUAACUCCGUGCCAGCCGCCGCGGUAAUAC
rnacentral:rRNA from 1 species